rnacentral:rRNA from 1 species
AGCAGCCGCGGUAAUUCCAGCUCCAAUAGCGUAUAUUAAAGUUGUUGCAGUUAAAAAGCUCGUAGUUGAAUUUCGGAAUCAAUACGUCGGUCGUGCCACUGGUAUGAACUGGCGUCGUUGAUUUCUCCUUUCUGAGGAACCAUGAUGUCAUUAAUUUGGUGUGGUGGGAAAUCAGGACUGUUACUUUGAAAAAUUAGAGUGUUUAAAGCAGGCCUACGCUUGAAUACAUUAGCAUGGAAUAAUGAAAUAGGACGUUCGAACCUAUUUUGUUGGUUUCUAGGAUCAACGUAAUGAUUAAUAGGGAUAGUUGGGGCAUUAGUAUUCAAUUGU